rnacentral:rRNA from 1 species
GACGAACGCUGGCGGCGUGCCUAAUACAUGCAAGUCGAACGCUGAAGAGAGGAGCUUGCUCUUCUUGGAUGAGUUGCGAACGGGUGAGUAACGCGUAGGUAACCUGCCUUGUAGCGGGGGAUAACUAUUGGAAACGAUAGCUAAUACCGCAUAACAAUGGAUGACACAUGCCAUUUAUUUGAAAGGGGCAAUUGCUCCACUACAAGAUGGACCUGCGUUGUAUUAGCUAGUAGGUGAGGUAAUGGCUCACCUAGGCGACGAUACAUAGCCGACCUGAGAGGGUGAUCGGCCACACUGGGACUGAGACACGGCCCAGACUCCUACGGGAGGCAGCAGUAGGGAAUCUUCGGCAAUGGGGGCAACCCUGACCGAGCAACGCCGCGUGAGUGAAGAAGGGUUUCGGAUCGUAAAGCUCUGUUGUAAGUCAAGAACGGGUGUGAGAGUGGAAAGUUCACACUGUGACGGUAGCUUACCAGAAAGGGACGGCUAACUACGUG